GGGCAACCCUGAUCCAGCCAUGCCGCGUGAGUGAAGAAGGCCUUCGGGUUGUAAAGCUCUUUCGGCCGGGAAGAAAUCGCAUGGGUUAAUACCCUGUGUGGAUGACGGUACCGGCAUAAGAAGCACCGGCUAACUACGUGCCAGCAGCCGCGGUAAUACGUAGGGUGCGAGCGUUAAUCGGAAUUACUGGGCGUAAAGCGUGCGCAGGCGGUUUGAUAAGACAGGCGUGAAAUCCCCGGGCUUAACCUGGGAACUGCGCUUGUGACUGUCUCACUAGAGUACGGCAGAGGGGGGUGGAAUUCCACGUGUAGCAGUGAAAUGCGUAGAGAUGUGGAGGAACACCGAUGGCGAAGGCAGCCCCCUGGGCCGAUACUGACGCUCAUGCACGAAAGCGUGGGGAGCAAACAGGAUUAGAUACCCUGGUAGUCCACGCCCUAAACGAUGUCAACUAGGUGUUGGGUGGGUAAAACCAUUUAGUACCGUAGCUAACGCGUGAAGUUGACCGCCUGGGGAGUA
rnacentral:rRNA from 1 species